UGGAAGAUCCACUAGUGGUGUUUGCUCGAACUAUUCUAGCCGAUAUGUGACCAAAACAUUUGAAACUAUACGAAAGUUUGACUCUGGAAUGCUGUUUUUACUUUCCCAAGCACUCCUGUUAAAUGUGCUGGUGCGCCACAGAAAAUUUGUUACCUAUCGGAAUCUUACUUUUCAAAGCAUGGCAAACGAGACAAGGCAAAUGUGAAGUACUUUGCUGCGACUCCUGUCAUCUUUUCUUGUAAAAGUAUGCAGAUGAACUACAUAAAAUUUGUGCCCGGAGAAAUAUCGAAGUUAAUCUUAGACACAAUCUGAAAGAAAUUUUACCAAAUUCCAAGAAGCUGUAUUUGAUGUUUUAGAUAAGCCUGGUGAAGUUGUGAAAGUGCCAUUUUCUAUGCUCCAUGUGACUCCUCCAAUGACACCUCCUGCUGUUCUGAAAACUGGACCUUUGCUGACCGAUGAAAGUGGGUUUGUGAAUGUGGACAAGGAAACAUUACAGCAUAAGCAUUAUAAAAUAUUUUUGCGCUCGGUGAUAGUUCAAAUUUACCUACUUCCAAACUGCUGCGGCUGUAGCUGCUCAAAGUAAAAUUCUGUGGAAUAAUCUGUAUGCUUGUCUCGAUGGAAAACCAGUCGAAUCAUCAUACAAUGGUUACACAUCUUGUCCCCUUGUGACUGGUUAUGAUUCAUUGAUUAUGGCGGAGUUUGAUUAUAAGCUGCAGCCUAUGGAAACGUUCCCUUUUAAUCAAGCAAAAGAAAGAAAAUCAAUGUACCUUCUUAAGAAGAAUGUAUUGCCAUUCAUGUAUUGGAAUGGCAUGUUAAAGUAAGUUAAAUUCUUAGUUUGACCAGACGUAUAAGGCACAUUUUCAGAUCUCAGGUAUUUUUUGUGUAUUACUAGCAAUUAACAAAGCAACGUAUGAUC
rnacentral:lncRNA from 1 species